rfam:Burkholderia fungorum strain ATCC BAA-463 chromosome 3, complete sequence.
CAAGUCCACUGCGAUGAAGGAAUAGCGAACCACAUCGGCUCCGAGCCGUGCGCAGGCAUCUGCGAGGAUGUCGGCGAAGCGUCGGCAGGGGUACGUGCAGGCCACACGUAGCCGAUCA